rnacentral:lncRNA from 1 species
ACUCCUGCAUGAAGGCUUCUGGAGAAGUAGGAAGGCUUAGAAUGUCGCUCACUCAUCUUUCACUUCCUGUAGCAACUGUUUCGUGCUCUUAAGUCUGGUGCGUCCAUGUCUGUCUGCACCUGGAUGGCAUCGCCUCUCCAUCUCGAGGACGCCAUCUGGAGGGGAUGGGAGCAAUGAGUAUGCUGUGGAGAAUGAGAGCAUUUUCUCACUUCUGGAGAAUGGAGUUUCAAAUGAGCAAA